AGCGAACGUUAGCGGCGGGCCUAACACAUGCAAGUCGAACGAGAAUGAGGGGGCAACUCCUCUAGUAAAGUGGCGGACGGGUGCGUAACACGUAGGUAAUUUACCUUCCGGCGGGGGACGAACAGUCCGAAAGGACUGCUAAUACCGCAUACGUCGGCGAGGUCUCCGGACCUUGUCGGGAAAGAUGGCCUCUCCUUGGAAGCUGUCACCGGAAGAUGAACCUGCGGCCCAUCAGCUAGUUGGUGAGGAACGGCUCACCAAGGCGAAGACGGGUAGCUGGUCUGAGAGGAUGAUCAGCCACACUGGGACGUGCGACACGGCCCAGACUCCUACGGGAGG
rnacentral:rRNA from 1 species